GGCGCAUAGAAGAGUGGGUGGGUCUGGCGAUUGGCAUGCAAUACAUUGAAGGCAUAUGAUAGUUAUUUUAGUAUUUUAAAGUAAUUUUCGUAUUUUAUGUCCAUGGUUUUACUUUAGGAGACUUUAGUAUCAAAAGUUUGGUUGUUAAUUGUAUCAAAUUGGUACAAUUUUAACAACUCUGGCAACGCUGAAUUGCCUGCCAUACGUCCUGUCAUUAAAAAUCACGUGGUUUGGAUUGCCUACUUGCACACUUGAUCCAACGUUGCCAAGUCACUAAAAUCUCAAUAUUUGACACCAAUUUGACAAUUGACAGAUUAUCUUGUAAAUAAAUAAAUAAAUCUAAAUAGUUAUCCUAACAAAACAAAGUCGGGAACAAUGGAUAAAAGCCAGAAGGAGAACAAAACUAAAGUUAAAAUAUGAAAGAAUAUGCAAUAAACAUUGUGUAAGUGAAAAGCCAGCCACUUUAAAAAGAUAUUCCAAACCAAAACAUGAGUUACCAAAGCAGGCAAUAAAAAGAAAAGGUGAUCUAGAAUGCAAGAAAAGAGCUGAUGAAAGAAGUAAAUGUAAAGAAAAUAAUGGGGAGACUUCUCUUGACCAUGAACAAACACCAGAUAUUUUAAUAUGUAGAAAAAGAAAAAACUGCUGGAACUUUAAUUAAAGGCUUUUGACUAGUGAAGAUUUGGAUAAACAACAGGAGUUACUUUGGGCUAUAGCUACGUGCAAAUUUAUUUUCUUGUGGCUUCCUAUGUUUAUUCUUAUUAACUAUACACUUUGAUAUGUUUUUAGUCGCAUGAAGAUUUUAUAGUUUAUUAUUUUAUGUAUAUUGUUAUAUUUGUGUUUUAUAAACAUUAUUAUUAUUAUUACUUUAAUUUCCAUUAAAUAAAUUAACUGUAAU
rnacentral:lncRNA from 1 species